GAUGAACGCUGGCGGCGUGCCUAAUACAUGCAAGUAGAACGCUGAAGGAAGGAGCUUGCUCUUUCCGGAUGAGUUGCGAACGGGUGAGUAACGCGUAGGUAGCCUGCCUGGUAGCGGGGGAUAACUAUUGGAAACGAUAGCUAAUACCGCAUAACAGUAGAUGUUGCAUGAUAUCUACUUAAAAGGUGCAAUUGCACCACUACCAGAUGGACCUGCGUUGUAUUAGCUAGUUGGUGAGGUAACGGCUCACCCAGGCGACGAUACAUAGCCGACCUGAGAGGGUGGACGGCCAAACUUGGACUGGGACAAGGCCCAGACUCCUACGGGAGGCAGCAGUAGGGAAACUUCGGCAAUGGACGGAAGUCUGACCGAGCAACGCCGCGGGAGGGAAGAAGGUUUUCGGGUCGGAAAGCUCUGUUGUAAGAGAAGAAAGAGUGUGAGAGUGGAAAGUUCACACUGUGACGGUAGCUUACCAGAAAGGGACGGCUAACUACGUG
rnacentral:rRNA from 1 species